rnacentral:misc_RNA from 1 species
GAUGAAGAACGUAGUGAAAUGCGAUAAGUGAUGUGAAUUGCAGAAUUCAGUGAAUCAUCGAAUCUUUGAACGCACAUUGCGCCCCUUGGUAUUCCGAGGGGCAUGCCUGUUCGAGCGUCAUUAUAACCCCUCAAGCUCAGCUUGGUGUUGGGGCCUGCCGCACGGGCAGCCCUUAAAAUCAGUGGCGGUGCCAUCUGGCUCUAAGCGUAGUAAUUCUUCUCGCUAUAGAGUCCCGGUGGAUGCUUGCCAUUAACCCCCAAUUUUCUAUGGUUGACCUCGGAUCAGGUAGGGAUACCCGCUGAACUUAAGCAUAUCAAUAAGCGGAGGA